rnacentral:rRNA from 1 species
UGAGGCACGAAAGCGUGGGGAUCAAACAGGAUUAGAUACCCUGGUAGUCCACGCCGUAAACGAUGAUCACUCGAUGUUGGCGAUACACAGUCAGCGUCUUAGCGAAAGUAUUAAGUGAUCCACCUGGGGAGUACGGUCGCAAGAUUGAAACUCAAAGGAAUUGACGGGGGCCCGCACAAGCGGAGGAGCAUGUGGUUUAAUUCGAUGAUACGCGAGGAACCUUACCUGGGCUCGAACGUGGAAUGACAGUCGCGGAAACGUGAUCUUCUUCGGACAUUCUACGAGGUGCUGCAUGGUUGUCGUCAGCUCGUGCCGUGAGGUGUCGGGUUAAGUCCCAUAACGAGCGCAACCCCUAUCUUUAGUUGCCAUCAGGUAAUGCUGGGGACUCUAAAGAAACUGCCUACGCAAGUAGUGAGGAAGGCGGGGAUGACGUCAAAUCAGCACGGCCCUUACGUCCAGGGCUACACACGUGCUACAAUGGCCGGUACAGAGGGCAGCUACCUGGUGACAGGAUGCAAAUCUCCAAAGCCGGUCUCAGUUCGGAUCGAAGUCUGAAACUCGACUUCGUGAAGUUGGAUUCGCUAGUAAUCGCGCAUCAGCCAUGGCGCGGUGAAUACGUUCCCGGGCCUUGUACACACCGCCCGUCAAGCCAUGGAAGCUUGGGGUACCUGAAGUCCGUGAGCGCAAGCAGCGGCCUAGGGUAAAACAGGUAACUAGGGCUAAGUCGUAACAAGGUAGCCGUACCGGAAGGUGCGGCUG